ACAGUUCGUUGUGAGACAACUGUCAAACUCCCAAAAUGACACCAAAGAGCACCGUACACGUUUCAUAAAAGUACUCAAUAUGAUUUAAGCAUUGGAUCCUAAAUAAUUUGUUUAAGGAACCGACUAAAACGAAGCAGUUAUUUACUGAUAAUUUUGCCCUCAAACAGUAGCUCGCGUCAAGUGCGCGUUUGCGUCCAGAAAUUACGCGUUGACGUCGAAACGACAUCGGAUCGGCUGAAGUGAAUAUAAUCGAUCUUAGUUGGGCGAGAAGAUGUUUGGCGACAAGUAAAACGACGGCUGGAACCACGGUUAGUGGCUGUUGUUUCUCUCAACUCCCACAAUAAUAUUGAAGUCGGUGUUCUUCAGUGCUUUCAAAUGCAUGUGUGGAAAAAGCCCUUUUCUUUGUAUUGCACAGAUGAGUGUUUUUCUGUUUGCUUCGAGCAUUAUUGUUUUCCUACUGUACUUUUAAAGAAAACGUCCAAAUCCCAAGAACUGCACUCUUCGUAUAAGAGCAGAGCUCAUCCCGCGUUACGUUUAACUAGAGCUUUUGCGUUUCAGCCAUGCUACACUCUACACACACAAGGUAUUCUAACCGACACUGAUUAUGAAAGCAUCCAAACAUGUAUCACGAAAUGCACAAAAAUGGCACUAAUUGUUCUCUAAAUUUGCCAUUGCCAAUGUGGUGGACCUCUGCAAAGAAAAGCGCUCAAGGUGCCUGGAAGCUACAGAUGGUGUGCAUUUGACCUGUAAACCUAUCGAUGGUGUACAUGGAGGGAAGCACUUUUUUCCGGUAACCGGUAAUGGCUCUCUGAGGUAACACAACAUAUUGUAUUGAAUCUGAUAGUAAAGCGUUGUUCCUUUUCUUCGUUAUAGAGCACCCUUGACAUCACUGAAAGCAUAGGAUGCUGCUUUAAGACAAGCAAGAGGUCGGUCGACAGCAAAGCGCUGUGACCAGGGCAAAGAACAAGAAAAUCAAUCAACCUCACAACUUUGACAGGAACUAUUUUAGUAGUUUUAUACAUGGACAUGCAAGUCAUUUUUUCACUCUUUGAAAUAUUUACAAUAAUUACAAGACAAAGAUUCAGUUCAGAUUGACAAAAUCGCGAGCAUUCAAUAGUACUACUAAUAUAACACAACUUCUCGGGAUUCUUUAAAUCAUCGUAGUUAUAUAAUUCAUCACAUUUGAUAAUGGUAUAUUUCAAUUAUGUCAUCCUUAUCCAGUCAUCUUCCCGUUCUAAUUAGAAUAGUGUUUUCAUCACAUCAUUACAGGCCAUUCUCUGUAAUUGAUGAUCAUUUUGCUGAAAUCACAGUUUGAGCACCAUCUCCACAAACCGUUUCCUCAUUCUAAAUCUAACACUGAAACAAGAAUACUGGUAUAAAGUUUAAUGGGAAUAUACAUCAAAGGAAUGACACAAAAGGGGAUGAAAUUAAGGAGGAUCAUGGCUGGGGCUGUUGAGAAAAAUCACGAUCGCAGGUCUUGGGCGCUCAUUAGCCGUGGACCGAGAAGUCAUAUUGGUUAACAUAAAAGUCUUUGAGAGCUGCUAAAGCACAUGUAGAAACUAAGCAGCAAGCGUUACAAUCCACAAAGCAGUCUACAUAGCAGCAGACGGCUCCGUUGAUCAUGGCGGGAGCGUUCUAGCUUUGUCCCAUCACCGCUCGCUCGCCGUGCGGAUUGGGCGUAGGGGUUUUUUCUUCACCUGCAGUGAUGAGGCACUCAAAAAUGCCGAAGGGACAGGGCACGCAUACAUGGCCUUUUGAGUUGCACAAUUCGACACCGCAGCACACGACUCACAAUAAAGAAUAGUUUUACGAAAGAAUUCACAUAUCGUCACCAGUUAAGCACAACAAUCAAGUUCGGGAAAACAUCAGGGGAAGGGAAAAUGAACAAGAUGCACAAAAAAGAUUCGUACCCAGAGUGUUUCCAGAGGGCGAGGAGGGGGGGGGGGAAUACAUUGUUUUACACUACGGACGUGGUUUGGGAGCAAAAUACCCGAUAACAAACAGAUUUUUGUAUUCAUGUGCACAUCCACAGGGAACACAUUCAUGGGGACCACGGUAAAACUCCAGCA